rnacentral:misc_RNA from 1 species
UGGUGAAAACAGAUUAUAGGGUCCAAACCCACAAACAUCGAACACCUGCUCCAUACCCAAACCCAUAAGAUAUCUGGAAAGCAUAACUUUAUGAUCAUGUGUACUGGGUACAUAAAUGUGACAAAUUCACAGUAUGGAAUACUGACUCUGAUAAGUUCAAACAAUGCCACAGGUGAAAGAAUCAGAUGAUAUUAAAAUAAUGGAUAAUGAAUGGGAAUGUGAUCGCAUGGCCAUUAAGUACAAGCAAUAUCAACAUUUGUCUUUCACUAUUUGCUAAUCAUACUUCCUCCACGUGAUGCACGCCCUCAAGAGAAAUUUGCCCACUUUCUGCUUGAAAACCAGAAGCAGCGGAUUUAGAUGCAACUCCCUCCAAAUAUUCAAGGAAAUCCAUCACCACAGUAUCAGUCCAAGGAGCGCCAAGUGGAGCUUCAGCACCUGCAACCCACCCUAGAUGGCCACCCUUGGGUGUCACUAUCAGCAAACAAUUUGGGUUUACCUGGGAUAAUAAGCAAUACACUUGAUCAAAAUGAGUAAAGGAAGAGAGUGUAUGAUUUACUCAUUUCAAUCAAUUUCUAAAGGGUAAUGUCAAGCUAAUUGGGCCAGAAAACCAUCUAAUGCUGUGAUGAAAGGAAUUUUUUAUUGCCACCUGUAAUACAGUGAAAUAUGGGAAAAAGAAGCUAUCCAGAAAGAUAAUAUGAUGUAUAGGAUAAGGGAAUAUAAGUAUCCCAUGACUUGAGAAUAUAAAGCACCCUGCAUAUACCUUGAUAGCUUCACGAGGAAUUCCCCUAGCAGGAGCAAUCGGAUCAUUGGCAGCCUGCAAGAGAAUGAGAUAUCUUUAGUUAACUGAUACAAUAUAUGCCCUAACCAAAAACCACUUACAAAUAUUUCACAAGAAAGACAGUUCUUUCAGUUUCAAAGUCAAUCAUAGUUAGUAUGUAUUAAGCCAUGAAAAGCAAUGUCGAAAUCUUGAUAUGAAAUUUUACUUUAGUUUCACUUAAUCUUGAAAUGAAAUUUUACUUGCAUUUCAUUUUGAAAUUAUAUUUUCUAAUUUAUUGACAUAUUUCAGAUUAUUUAUAUUUUGAACAAACAGCAGCUUGAAGCCGGAAAAUUUGAUGAACUUCAAGACCUUGACCACCUAGGAGGAGAAAAGGCAGUUCUACCAUUGAGCCAAUGCGCAUUUAUUCUCGAAGUAAACAAUGUAGAGAUAGAGCUGCUCUAUUAUUAAACAGGCUAAUCAUUCUCUAAAGAUGAUAAGCUUCAAACUGAGGAACGCCAACUGAUAUAAGGUGGUUUAUCGAUCUCUUUAUCUUUAAGUAACUGAUAACACCAGGAUAUGUAUCAAUAUUGGAGAAAAAAGGUACCAAGUUAUCAACCACAUCAAUCCCAUCAUUGAGGUAGUUAUACAAGGACACCUAGAAAAGUUCCAGCGUUCCACAGCAAGUAAAUUAAAAUCAUUGACAGCCAAAAGAAAUUUGGGGGAGAAAAUCAAUACAUUUUCCUAGGAUCCACAUUUUCCAAGUAGCUUAAUCACUCAAAAUAAAAUUUCAAAAUCGCACCAUAACAUGACCAACAAUUUGAUCAGCAAUAAAUUCUUAUGCAGUUAAAUGUCAGUUGUGAGGCUCAGGAAAAUGUCUACCUGGAUACAAAGUAAAGGUCUGCUAACAUGUUUUAUGGCAUCUGAACUGCUUGAAUUAGAAUAGUACUCAUCCACCGACUUGAACCCAAAUGAAACUGCACAGUAUCAUAAAAAGUGCCAAGAGUUGAUGGCAUGCCACUGCAAAACUCACCCCACGAGAAAAAAAUAACAAUGAAAUCAGUUUCCAUGUACAAGAACCACAUACCACGCGUUAGUCCUUGAUCAAACUCCCUAACAGACUUGGCAUUGGCAACCGAUGGGAUGUCAUACUCACCAUCCAAUUCUUCAAAAAGAAGUGCAUGCUUCUUGAAAAUUUUACAGAGAGCUCUUGCAAGAGCUUUGUCAUAAACAAUGUUAAAGCCCUUACGGAAGUCCUCAUCUGCAAUAACCAAAUUGAAAGGAUUACAUAAAGACACGGCACCAGCUAGGGGACACGUUUGAGAUUCCUGAAAUAAAUAAUAAAGAUGUAUCAAAGAAAGUAGAGUGCAACUAAAAUGAACGGAAGAGAGAUCUGGUAAAGAAGUGAAUUUUAAGUGCUAAAAAAAUCAAUGUUACAAAAAUACCAUUUGAAAAAAGAAAUGAAAGUAUUUUAAAUUGAACUCAACCUCAAAAUUCCAACUGUGCCAAAUCUAAAAUAUAACAACUGACAACAGUACUCCAGUAUUCUAUGGCCCUCUCAAUUAAAAUCUUCUCCGUAUAUUAAAAUGUAAAAUGAAGUUCUGCAAAAUAUAAAACCAUUAAGUCCCAUUCCACAACCUCAAGCCCAGAGAUCUUUACUAAGUUCUUCCCUUGGCCUCAGAUGCUUGAACUUAAACCAUACAUAACUAAGAGAAGAGAACCAUUCUAAUAGUGUAUCCACAGAUUUGUUAGGGACGUUUAACCAUCUAUUUGUAUUCAUGCGUUAAUCAGUUGAGCAGAAAAUAACUAAAUGCUUUUGCAACUUGUAUGCACCAUAUACUAUAGCAUGAAUAAAUAUGAAAAAUAAAGUCUUUAAUAUUGUUAAACCUGCAAGUAAUUGCGGGUUUAUGGGAUCAACAUCAAGCACUUCCCAUAAGAACAAAGAAAAAGAUUACAUAUUCAGUGUGUUUACAUCAUGAAGAAACUCUACAGAACCAGAUAUAGAGGGGAAAAUUAAGGGUUGUAUCAUA